rnacentral:snRNA from 1 species
GUGCUCACUUUGGCAGCACAUAUACUACAAUUAGAAUGAUACAGAGAAGAUUAGCAUGGCCCCUGAGCAAGGAUGACACCAAAUUUGUGAAGCAUUCAUAUUUUUU